GAUGAACGCUGGCGGCGUGCCUAAUACAUGCAAGUCGAGCGAACGGACGAGAAGCUUGCUUUUCUGAUGUUAGCGGCGGACGGGUGAGUAACACGUGGAUAACCAACCUAUAAGACUGGGAUAACUUCGGGAAACCGGAGCUAAUACCGGAUAAUAUUUUGAACCGCAUGGUUCAAAAGUGAAAGACGGUCUUGCUGUCACUUAUAGAUGGAUCCGCGCUGCAUUAGCUAGUUGGUAAGGUAACGGCUUACCAAGGCAACGAUGCAUAGCCGACCUGAGAGGGUGAUCGGCCACACUGGAACUGAGACACGGUCCAGACUCCUACGGGAGGCAGCAGUAGGGAAUCUUCCGCAAUGGGCGAAAGCCUGACGGAGCAACGCCGCGUGAGUGAUGAAGGUCUUCGGAUCGUAAAACUCUGUUAUUAGGGAAGAACAUAUGUGUAAGUAACUGUGCACAUCUUGACGGUACCUAAUCAGAAAGCCACGGCUAACUACGUG
rnacentral:rRNA from 1 species